ensembl:snRNA
AAAGUCAACUUAAGGUUUAUUACUGUCCAAUGAGUGCACAGUGAGGGCACUACUGCUAACACCUACACAAGACACCACCAUCAACUAGAGCUUUACUUUGGUGCAAUUUUUGGAAAA